GGGGGGGGGGGGGGGGGGGGCGGGGGGGGGCGGGGCGGGGGGGGGGGGGGGGGGCGUGCGCGGCUGACGUUAGCGGCGGACGGGUGAGUGACACGUGGAUACCCUACCUAUAAGACUGGGAUAGCUUCGGGAAACCGGAGCUAAUACCGGAUAAUAUCUUGAACCGCAUGGUUCAAUAGUGACAUACGGUUUUGCUGUCCCUUAUAGAUGGAUCCGCGCCGCAUUAGCUAGUUGGUAAGGUAACGGCUUACCACGGCAACGAUGCGUAGCCGACCUGAGAGGGUGAUCGGCCACACUGGAACUGAGACACGGUCCAGACUCCUACGGGAGGCAGCAGUAGGGAAUCUUCCGCAAUGGGCGAAAGCUUGACGGAGCAACGCCGCGUGAGUGAUGAAGGUCUUCGGAUCGUAAAACUCUGUUAUUAGGGAAGAACAAAUGUGUAAGUAACUAUGCACGUCUUGACGGUACCUAAUCAGAAAGCCACGGCUAACUACGUG
rnacentral:rRNA from 1 species